ACGAACGCUGGCGGCGUGCUUAACACCUGCAAGUCGAACGGAAAGGCCCCUUUGGGGGUACUCGAGUGGCGAACGGGUGAGUAACACGUGAGUAACCUGCCCUUGACUUCGGGAUAACUUCAGGAAACUGGGGCUAAUACCGGAUAGGAAUCCUUGCUGCAUGGUGGGGGUUGGAAAGCUUCGGCGGUUUUGGAUGGACUCGCGGCUUAUCAGCUUGUUGGUGGGGUAGUGGCUUACCAAGGCUUUGACGGGUAGCCGGCCUGAGAGGGCGACCGGCCACAUUGGGACUGAGAUACGGCCCAGACUCCUACGGGAGGCAGCAGUGGGGAAUAUUGCACAAUGGGCGGAAGCCUGAUGCAGCAACGCCGCGGGCGGGAUGACGGCCUUCGGGUUGGAAACCGCUUUCAGCAGGGGCGAAGCUUGUGGUGACGGUACCUGCAGAAGAAGCACCGGCUAACUACGUG
rnacentral:rRNA from 1 species